CUAAAGAGCCUGCGGUAGGCGAGUUUAGAGAAAUCACAUAACAGGAAGCGGGGUCUAUUGGGCCAGACAAGGAGGAGGCCCUCCAAGGAACCAGGCUGAAGGGAAAGGAAAUUCCACAUUCCAUGUUGGACACCAAAAGCCCCGUGAUCUGGAACUGGGUACUAAAGACCCGGCCGGGUAUACGGGGGACCUGAAAUCUCCCGGAGCCGCAGUCUCCGCGCGGGCGGCCUGGGAAAGUCACAGUCACAGCGCAGUGGCGGGAACCGCAGCCCGGCGGCCCUGGAACCUCCCAGGUCAGAGGAGCUGCGGGGCUGGGACGCGGGAGGGAAGGACCGGGUGUGCCCGCGGAGGCUGCCCAGAAGGACACAGCUUUCAAAACUCUAUUAGAUCUCCUGUUGGAGAACUGCAGCAGUCUGGAUUCUCAGGGUGCUUUCUGAAGAAUCUUUUUCUCCUAUGCAAGUCUUACACUGCUGAACAAGAUCUGCUCACCUGUGAAUCAGAAAAAUGAGCCGUGGACAGUGGAGAGAGAGGAGACAGGAGCCAGGG